rnacentral:rRNA from 1 species
AGUCGAGCGGGGGAAGGUAGCUUGCUACCGGACCUAGCGGCGGACGGGUGAGUAAUGCUUAGGAAUCUGCCUAUUAGUGGGGGACAACAUCUCGAAAGGGAUGCUAAUACCGCAUACGUCCUACGGGAGAAAGCAGGGGAUCUUCGGACCUUGCGCUAAUAGAUGAGCCUAAGUCGGAUUAGCUAGUUGGUGGGGUAAAGGCCUACCAAGGCGACGAUCUGUAGCGGGUCUGAGAGGAUGAUCCGCCACACUGGGACUGAGACACGGCCCAGACUCCUACGGGAGGCAGCAGUGGGGAAUAUUGGACAAUGGGGGGAACCCUGAUCCAGCCAUGCCGCGUGUGUGAAGAAGGCCUUAUGGUUGUAAAGCACUUUAAGCGAGGAGGAGGCUACUUUAGUUAAUACCUAGAGAUAGUGGACGUUACUCGCAGAAUAAGCACCGGCUAACUCUGUGCCAGCAGCCGCGGUAAUACAGAGGGUGCGAGCGUUAAUCGGAUUUACUGGGCGUAAAGCGUGCGUAGGCGGCUUAUUAAGUCGGAUGUGAAAUCCCCGAGCUUAACUUGGGAAUUGCAUUCGAUACUGGUGAGCUAGAGUAUGGGAGAGGAUGGUAGAAUUCCAGGUGUAGCGGUGAAAUGCUUAGAGAUCUGGAGGAAUACCGAUGGCGAAGGCAGCCAUCUGGCCUGAUACUGACGCUGAUGUACGAAAGCAUGCGGAGCAAACAGGAUUAGAUACCCUGCUAGUCCAUGCCGUAAACGAUGUCUACUAACCGUUGUGGCCGUUGAGGC